UACGAAGGGGGCUAGCGUUGUUCGGAAUCACUGGGCGUAAAGGGCGCGUAGGCGGCUUUGUAAGUCGGGGGUGAAAGCCUGUGGCUCAACCACAGAAUUGCCUUCGAUACUGCAUGGCUUGAGACCGGAAGAGGUAAGUGGAACUGCGAGUGUAGAGGUGAAAUUCGUAGAUAUUCGCAAGAACACCAGUGGCGAAAGCGACUUCCUGGACCAAUACUGACGCUCAUGUGCGAAAGCGUGGGGAGCAAACAGG
rnacentral:rRNA from 1 species